AAUUUAUCAAAUAUUUAUUGAGCACCUACCUGAUGCAAUGUUCUACUGGGUUGGAGUGGAAAAUACAAAGACUACGAUAUGGUCUCCUCCUUUUAUCAAUUCACAAAUAAGUAGACAGAUGGCAUACGGUUGUAAAAUUAUUCAGCUAUCAGAGGUUGGAUUUAUGCAAACCUGGGCCAAAGGACAGUUAGAAGACGUGCUGAUGGGCCCGUGCAACAGUUGCUGGUAAAUGGCUGAUUAAAAAGCACAGAAAGCCGAACAAGACCCAACCAAAUUUGCCUCUCCUCUCAGGCUGGAGCGCAGUGGCACGAUUCCAACUCAUGGCAACCUCCACCUCCUGGGUCAAGUGAUUCUCCUGCUUCAGCCUCCUGAGUAGCUGGGAUUACGGGCACCUGCCACCACACCCAGCUAAUUUCUGUAUUUUUACAAAAAUUUGGACUCUGCUUAGAUUGGCUUAGUUUUCUCUUUAGUCAAAUCUUCAGGAACCAAUUUAUUACCAUUAAAAAUGAUCUAACAAGCUUUAUUUUUAUUAUUGUUAAAAAUCCUCAUUUUGAGGAACACAACCACAAAGUAAAGAAUGUUUUCA
rnacentral:lncRNA from 10 species